AAGAGAGUCUAGACUGUGUUCAUCUCUUUAUUCAGCGUGUCCUCUCUGGUGCCUCUUCCCAAGAUUUCGCACAAUCCCAAAUCUGUAAUUAGAGAAGUAGUAAGACACUUUUUUAAAAGUCCGUUUAGCCCACAACACUGUCAUCUCCAUGCACACAGGAUGCACAUUCUCACUCCUCACAAGGUGGCACAAAUAGGGUGCACAAUGAGUAAUUAUUUGGUUGAAUAAAAAAAUAUGAACUAUACCAAAGUGAAAGAAUAAAAUAAAUAUUAAUAACAGCAGCUAACAAUUAUACAGUCUUAUUCUCCAGAGAGAAAUUUGGGUCCUUGGUUGGCUGAAUCAGUGGCUGCAAAACUUGUGGACACAACUCAGUGGUAUUCAUUGUGCUACGUGAUUUUAUAUUAGAGACUUGAGCAUCCAUGAAUUUUGGUAUCUGUGGGGGCUCCUAGAAACAAUACCCUACAGUCAGUGAGGGAAGACUGUACAGAUGUUAACUAUGUGUCAGGAACUGGUUCUAAGGCCUUACAAAUGUUAACUCAUUUAUUUAUCCCCAUGAACCUAAAGUACAAAAUUAUAUCCACUUUACAGUUGAGGAAAGUGAGGCACAGUGGGAUUCAGUUGCUUAGGGCCACACUUUGGUGAUACAGCCAGGAUUCAAACCCAGGCAGCCUAUAUUCUAGAGUCUCUUUCCUUACCAACUAUAUUAUAUAGUGCCUGGCCAGUGGCAGAGGUUGGCCAAUUGUCCUUAUUUCAUAAAUGACCAUCCCAGCAACCAUCCCUCGGAGGAGAGCAACCACUGCCACUGCUUUUCUGGAAUGACUACCAAGAGCCAGGCACUGUCCUAAUAAGCACGUUACGUGCUAUUUCAUCUAGUACAACAAAUUAUUUACCCCACAGAUUAAAUAUCAGGCACAGAAAGGUGAAUCAACUUGCCCAAGGUCACACAGCGAAGAACUGGCACAGCUAGAUCUCAGUUGAGCUCUAUCUUCCAGUGAAGUAUAAGCUCUUAAUUACCACAUAAUGAUUCCUUCUACUUGGAAAGUUAUAUACUUUUUAAAACUUGUCUAACAUGUAUGGCAAGAAUACUCUGAAGCAAUUUCUUGGACCCUGGUUUUCACUGCUCUCUUCAUACUGCCCUAGAAUGCUAUUUAGUCUCACCUCUUACAACAAAGUCACAUUAUACACAGAUUUAAGUAGUAUGAAACCACCUAUACAAGCAUAGGGAUGGAAUAAGUCAGUGAGAGAGUUGACGUUAAUGGGUAAAAUCUAGUGGGUAACCCCACUGCCAUGUUAUUUAAAGGACACAAGUCCCCGAGGGAGAUGGGAGGAACUGAAAUCCCAAUGCUCAUCCCCAAAUGCUCACUAGAUGGGCAUCUCAGCACAUGACUGGGACUCUAAUGCUUAAAGAUAUUAAGUUAUAUGGCUAAUUUCAAAGACUUUUAAAGCUAAUUUUGAUUAUAAAGAUUUUUUUGCCUAUUGAAACAUCUUUAGAGCCUCUCCUUCAUGUGGACUAGACUCCACUGUACAAUGGCUGCAGUGUGCUAGAGACAUACUGGAACUACAAAGAGGAACGAAGACUAGCUCAUGUCCUGAAACAUACAUCUGGUCUACUUGCUAAGGGAGAGGUGAACACUCAGUAACAUGAUAACCAGCUCAGAGGUGGAAGAAAUAGUAACAAGGGCUCAACUAGAUACUAAACUUCUGAAUUAAAAGAAAAGCAGACACAUCUCAAUUCCCCAGUGGUGGGUGACAUAAAGAUGAUUUGUCUAAUAGUGAGAGAAAAUUAUAUGCUGAUUCUUUGACCACGGAGUUUCUUUAAAAGGAGUUUGCACAAAGAGCCAUCAAGAUAAAGAAACAUUAACUUGUAUUUUUCAAAAAACAGUGAUUUUUCAUUCCCCACUUAUACCAAAAGAAAAUUCAGCAAAGGCCUUCCUCAUGUCACAUAUCAUAAUGAAUCAAUUUUCUUAACCAAACAUAAACUUGACUGAACAUCUCUAUCUGGAAACACUCUAUUAUGACAACAUUUGUGGAACACUGAAAGAUCUGACCACUUCUCUUUUCCCCAAACAGCACAAGAAACCCAGAUAACAAAUGAAGGUUAUACUUUGUAACAAGAAUAGACAAGGAGACUGAAUCACAGCAAAACACUUAGAAAUCAAGAGAGAGGAAGAAAAGUACCAAGAGAUUAAAGGCAAGGAGAACAAUAAUAGGAAGGAAAUCUCUUGUGAAAAGAAUCAUCUGAUGGUAACUUACUCAGGACAAAAAAGAAUUAAAUCUCUACUUGAAUGACCAAGCUCAAGAUGAGGUAAUUUCAUAAAGUUUAUAGAAAGUCACUUGAAAAUUACACAACUUGUUGUGGUACUCAACUUUUAGAGGGAAAUAAAAGUUCCCACAAGGGAGCUGAUCUUUAGAAAAAUGCAUUUACCAAGUGAGUGCAUGAAUUUUAACUGUUAACUAGGAGAUCAUCCUUAAUUCUUACCUGGACAGAAAAGUCACUCUAGAACUGAUUAAGUUCUUCUGGGUUUCAGGAAGAGAUUCUGACAUAAAAAUAAGAGAAUAAAAAAUUUAAAAUACAUUUAGAAUGCACAGUGCAAGAAAUAAAAAGAAGUGUUAACAGAGCUGGCCCCAGGGCCACUACAGGGUACAAGAGAAUGCUGGGACAAACUCUCAGUUUGCUCUCACCUGGAAAGAGGGAAUAUAGCUCAUAAUCUCAGACGCAAAUAGCCUCUUCUAGGAGCUUCAGGAGCACAAGUCCAGAGGAAGGUGCUGAUUGGCCUGAGGGACUAUGCCAAGAGGUUACCCCUGAAAGCAGCUAUCAGGAUGUGGUAAAUUAACUGCCCUACUUGAGGAUUAAGGAUACCCUGUGGACAGGAUGGAGGAAGAGAGGAUCCAAGUGGGGAUAAAGAGAGUUAAAGGAGGCAAUGAACUUGAUGGUAUUACCAAAAUCCCAGGGAAUGGGGGAAGAAUACUUCAAGAAACAUGAGAAAACAUAAGGAAAAUACAGUAUGACAAUAUGAUUAUCGCAGUCCACACAAAGUUCACUUUGGUAUCACGAUGUACCAAGUAAAAUUCACUUAUGAUACUGGUUUUUAUGUACAUAUGGUCUAUCUACACUUGUAGAGUAGUGUUUCUCACAUAAACUGUGGUGAAGGAUUAAUAUUUUAAAAUUCCCUGACAGUUAUGGACUGAUAUUUUCAUAAAAUACAAUAUUAUGAAUUGUUAGAAAAUUGCUCUCCCAUUUGCAUGUCAUGGCUAUGGCAAUCUGCAAUCAAAGUUUCUCGACGCUUCUUCUGUUUCUGUACUUACCACAAACCUAAAACAGUUCACAAACUGGCACUUUUACAGACACUGGCACUAGUCCAAUGCCACACUCUGAGCGUACUACUGGUGGGCCAGGAGUUCUCUGUCACAACUACUCAAUCCUGUAAGAAAACAAAUGAGUGAAGCUCUGUUCUAGGAAAACUGUAUUUAUAAAAACAGGCAUAGGGCAGGCUUUGGCCAUGAAUUAUAGUGUGCCUACCCCUGAUCUAGAACAGUGUUCUUCACACUCUAGUGUGCACAGCAAUCAUCUGCUGUAAAAACACAAAUUCUGACCUGAUGGAUAUGGAGUAGGGCUGAGAUUCUGCAUUUCUAAUAGCCUUCAAGUGGAUGUCAAUACUGACAGUCCAUGGUCUACAUUUUGAGCAGUCAGGCUCCACAGACUCUUCUCUGUGAACCCAGAGACUUAGAUGUGAUCUCUAGUAUACUAGGUACUUUAUCCUGAGUCUUUAUUGACCUUAGAAAAGAUUACAUCUGUCAGUCAGGUAAAUGGCUUCCUCUGCUUUAAAGAAAUGAUUAUACUCAGAAGAAAGAGAUAAGGACAGCCUCAUUGGAACCAAAGACACCAAAUAUCAGUUUCCCAUUCUCAUAAUCAGCGUAAAAUGUGACAUAGGUGAUCAAGAAGUUUUGUUGAUUGCUGACUGGACAUGGGAGUGACAAGCUGUGUCCACUAGGAAGAGGAAUCUAGGAUGAUGGUGGGGCUCUAAUUUCUGUCCUGUUAUCUUACCUAAGACAUUUUGCAUUGAUUGAUAAACUG
rnacentral:lncRNA from 1 species